GGUGCCUGGACUCCUUCGGUUCCAAUCUGUCUGUGAAAUCAACGUAGUGGUGUGACAGAAAGUCUUCCUAUGGCUGCAGCAGGAUUGAAACCGAGCAUGAGACAAGCCGAUUCUGUGAUGCUAUUCUAGGGAGAGGGUCUUAGCAGCAGCCAUCUUUGGGGUGCCAAGUUUACCCCAUAUAGCAACCCCAAGAAGCAAAACAGUGGAUGCCUGAAGCAUAAAGGACAAAGAUGAGCCUUGCUGAAAGCUUUCCCCUCAGAAACAGCCCCAGGUAAGAAAUGAGAAAAUGGUUGGGGAAGGAGGGGGAGGCUAGUUUCUGCACGGAGACAAAGAUUCCUGCUUCAGAUCUUGCAGUAGAGUUUUUCUAAAUGCAGUAGCUGCGUGAGUUUGUAUGUUUUAUUUAUUUAUUACAUUCCUCUCCCCACCCCAGGAGUUCAGAGUGGCAGACACUGUUCUCCCCACCCCCCAUCCUCCAAAUUUUCUCUCACAACAAUCUUGUAAACUACAUGAAACUGAGAGAGAGAGAAAGAGUAGCCCACUAGGUUUUAAAGCUGAGUGUGGAUUGGAACCCAGGUCUUCCUGGCCCUACUCUGACACUAACCACCAUGCUAGCUCUCAUUAAAAUCUGAAACUUUAAAACAAGCAACAAAACCAUGUCCAAAUGGCACAUACAAACUGCACAAUCAGAAGAAAAACAGCAGCAGCAGCAGGGAAUCAGCUGCAAGAAGAAAAAACCUCAGGACCAAACCACAUGUUACAUUCAAAAGAAAUUUCCUCUUAAGUGUAGAAUUUUCCUUUCGCAAAGAUCAGGAUCCUAAUACUGAGCAGGAAGAAGCGGCAAUUAAUCUUUGCUCUGCUUUGGACUCAAUCAAGAAUGGGCUUGAUCUCAGAUAAUGGGAGGGAGGUGGUGGCAGGGCACAGUGGGGGAAGAGAUAUCUCUCUUAUACCCGCCAACAUUUCUCUGAUGAAAAUAGGGACGUCCCAUUCCAUAAUGAUAACUUUACUAUUUCUACCCCACACAUCUUACUGGGUUGCCCCACCCACUCUGAGCAGCUUCCAACGUAUCUAGAAACAUAAUAAAACAUUUUUAAAAAACCUUCCCUAUACAGGAUUGCCUUAAGACGGCUCAGGGGUCAGAUAACCCCAUACCCUCCAACAUUUCUCCUAUGAAAAUAGGGACUUCCUAAGAAAAAGUAAAACACUCCAGGAUCAAAUCAGAAACUGGGGUGGCUUCUCUAAACCAGGGAGGUCCCUAGAAAGUAGGCACACUUGGCAGGUCUGAUUAUCUGUUCAAUCCUAGUCCAGAUUGGAAGGAAAAUCCUUCAUUAAAGGCAAGCCAUGUGAUUAACCCAACACAUAGUUUGGCCCACUGUUUGAUUUAGGGAAAAUAAAAAGUUAUUUGGCAUCAAAGAUAUCUUCUUCUUCUUUGGCGAUCCCUCGUAACCGAGUAAGAUUGUCUUCCAUAAACACGGUUUUAACAAUGAGUCCGUAAGUGACCGUGGAAGCCAAUUCUGGAUCCACACGUCCUUCCACAGUUGGGACAUUGGUUUCCGGGCGGGAGUUGAUCACGGUGUGGAUUUGCCAUGCAUGCCUUCCUCCUAGCACGUUUCUCCCUUGCGUCCUGAGUUCGAGUGUCUUCAAUGCCCAUGACGCCUUUGGUAAAGGCUGUUCUUUAACUGGAGUGCUCACAGGCCAGUGUUUCCCAGUUGUCAGUGUUUAUACUACAUUUUUAAAUAUAUGCCUUGAGACAGUCUUUAAACCUCUUUUGUUGACCACCAGCAUUACGCUUUCCAUUUUUAAGUUUGGAAUAGAGUAGUUGCUUUGGGAGACGAUCAUCAGGCAUCCGCACAACAUGACCAGUCCAACAAAGUUGAUGUUGAAGAAUCAUUGCUUCAACACUGGUGAUCUUUGCUUCUUCCAGUACACUGAUAUUAGUUCGCCUGUCUUCCCAAGAGAUGUGUAAAAUUUUUCGGAGACACUGUUGAUGGAAUCUUUCGAGGAGCUGGAGAUGGCAUUUAUAAGUGGUCCAUGUUUCACAAGCAUAUAGUAAAGUUGGUAGUACAAUAACUUUGUAAACAAGCAUUUUGGUUUCUCUGCGAAUGUCCCGGUCCUCAAACACUCUACACUUCAAUCUAGGCGAUGCUGGAUUUCGGCAUCAAUGUUGGGCUUUGUGGAAAGAUAACUGCCUAGGCAAGAGAAAUGAUCGACAUUUUCCAACGUUACACCACUGAGUUGGAUUUGUGGCGCUGCAGAGGGGUUAUUUUGUAUUUGUUGGUGCAGCACUUUGGUUUUUUGGAUGUUGAGUGAUAGGCCAAGCUUUUCAUAAGCUUCUGCAAAGAUAUUUAGGAUGGUUUGGAGGUCAACCUCUGAGCGUACACCACUACGUUGUCAUCAGCAUACUGAAGCUCUAUGACGGAAGAUAUAUAUGAGGCCCUCUCUGCAAUUGUCACCCACCUAACAUCAGAAACACAAAGAUCUUAAUGCACAGGAAAGUAGACAUGAGAAAAGACAACUUUUAGAUAUCCAGGAGGGCCUGAGCUGCCACAAACUUUAAUGAUAAGCAUUAGCACCCUGAACUGAUUUGGGAAGCACCUCAUCAGGUUCUGUUUCAGAACAGAACCAUGGUUUUGAGCUUUCAUUAUUUACCGGUAAUGAAGUUUGUAAUAACCAUGAUUGGUCAAUAUUUUUGGUACCUGUGUUUUUACUUUUUAAUGGGAUGCAGGGAGGUUUGGAGAGGGGUGGGUGGUUGAUUGACAAGCAUGGAAAUAAAGCACUGUUGUUAUAAACCUAAUGCAACUAACUGUGCAAUCCUAUAUGUGCCAGCUCAGUAACAGCAGAGUCCUAUGCAUGCCUGCUCAAAAGUAAGUCCUAGGUAUGUGUGAAUAAGAUUGCAGCCUAAAAAGCUGAAUCCCUAUCAUGCACCAGAACAGCAAUAAGGUAGGUGUUUUGUGAGCCUCUCUAAGGAAAGUGUUCCACAGUUACCAGUCAGUGGGAAUCCCAUAUAGAGAGAGUGCUGUUGCACUCAGUUCCUGCUUGAGGGCUUCACACAGGUUGGACACUUGUAAAUACAGACUGCUGGACAAGAUGGGCCUUAUGCUCUUUGCUGGGGUGUCACCACCAAGAAGGCCCUAUCUUCUGUAACUACCCAUCUCAUUUCAUUUGGUGAGGGUACUGGUAGGAAGCCCUCUACAGAAUUUCUUGAUGUAUAGACAGGAAAAUAUCAAAAGGUACUUAGUCCUAAAUCACAAAGGGCUUUAAAGGAAAAUGAGCACAUUGAAUUAGAUUCAAAACCGGACUGGGAGUCUGGUCAGCAUAAUAUUGUCAUAGUCCCAGAAAAAAAUCCUUUUUAAAAGGCUCUGAUGGAUCACAGACUUUCAGUGGUAUCACUGGUCAUUUAGUUAAAGCCUUGAUGAAGCAGUUCCCCCUAUUAUUAUUAUUACUUUAUUGGGUUUUAUUGUAAUUAUUACGAUACCUGCCCCUUCCUCCAACACAAAUGUAAAAACUGUCUACACACCCCAGCUCUGCUACCCCACCUCCCUCACUCAGAUGGCCACAAAGACCAUCUACCAUCCUAGCUGCUUAGGGCAAGGUAGUUAAAUGGGAAUCAUGUUCCCUGGUUUGUUUGUGGGGUUUCCCCCAACCUUGUAGGGACUACAGAUAAACAGUUGUCUGAAGGAUUCCAUUACAUUUCAGAUUUAGUUGCGUGAAUUAUUCGCACCCACCCACCCAAAUUUGUUGCCCAUUGUUUUUCCACAAUAAACAACACCCUCCAAUCAGAUAUUAAACAGAUAAAUAACCAUGUGAUUUUUAAAAGACUUCUGAAAGCAGCCCUGUACAGUAUAGGGAAGUUUUAAAUGAUCUGUGAUUUAUUGUGUUUUUAAUAUUUUGUUGGGAGCCGCCCAAAGUGGCGGCGUGUAAAUAAUAAAAUCAUCAUCAUCAUCAUCAUCAUUAUAAAUCAUCAUAAAUAAGAAAAUUGUUGUUGUUCAACCUCUCCCAUUUUUAACCAGGGCAGGUGACAUCACAGCUCUUAGUUAUUCUCUCUGCCGACAUUCCUUGGGAUGUCUCGCAUGGGAUGUCUCUAUUUUCACCAUUCUUGAAAAUAGAGCCCUAUUCUCAAAAGCAGGAGAUGGAAGAGGGAAGGUUGUGUCUGGAUAGUGGCUCUUCAGACUGAAGAUGGAGAGUCAGGUGACUGAGUAGUCUUCCAUAUUAAAAAAUAGUAAGAAUCCUGAACAUACAAAAUGAUAGGUCAGUGAACAGCAUUGUAGCUUAGCCGUUUCACCAGUGUGUUAGUUUUCUGUGGGAUGGGUUCUGGCUCUUACUCUCCCCACCCCCCAUUCCUUCAUGUAAGAUGCCAUCUGCCAUGCAAAGUGGUACAAUCCAGACCCAGCUUUAUUAACUCAUCUGCUCAUUGUGAAAGCUAGGCCAUAGCUAGGAGUACCCAAUCCAUGUAUUGCCAUCUACCCUGGCUAUAAAAUCUCAAUGAAAUAAAACCUCUAGUAGACAUUGGAAAUAUGUUGCUUUAACCAUUCUGAAUGUUAAACCUCAUAAAUUUAAUACACCUGCAGAGUUAUUGUGGGAAUAAAACUGAAUAACUCUUUGUACAUUGUCUGAAGAGAUAAAAGGAGAAAUUGGGAAGGUCCUUAGGAAAGCAUUUCUGGGGGAACACUGUAUGUGGAGUAGGUGUUGUCUUCUCCUGUUGGGUUCCUUCCAGCAACGCGACAUGGAUCUCUGCAGUCUUCCCUUUUCCAAUAAAAAAAUUGUAGCUUAUGGAGGGGGCUGUUAGAUGGGUUCAGUAGAGGCUGUAUGUAGAAAUUUAUGUAGAAUAUUGUGGCUUUAUCUCAAAAGUUCUGAACAAAUGGACUUUGAAACAGCAAAGCACUACGAUGAUGACAACAUUGAUCCAGUUCAGGACCCUAUUUGGCACCUCAGAUCACAUUCAAUCCAAGUAGACCUGGGCCUGACUUUGAAACUAACUGGGGGCCUUCCAUGUUCCUAAGAUUAAAUAGGUGUUUAAACCCUAGUUAAACAUGUGAUUGGUUAGUGAGGGGGGAAGGAGAAGUGAGAGUCUCUGCCUGCAUUGCCUUCUCCCUCUCUUUGCUGUCAACUCCAUGUUGAAAUAGGGAUUCAAGUCCUGAUUAAAGCUGACCACCACUGACCCACACUUUGAUAUACCCGUAUCACUCUGGAAAUCAACGGCUGCUUCAACCUGUUCCAGGCAAAUUCUGGAUUGACUUGGAUCAGCCCAAUUCAGUUCAGGAUCCAGGAUUUGUCCAGAGCUGGUGCACAGCUGUGUUAUUUACCAACCCACAAAUGCAGUUUAUUCUGCAUUUGAAAAUUAUCGAAUUUCAGUGAAAUUCUCAUUCACAGGGUGCAGGAUUUUUGCGGUGCUUACCUUAAUGGUUAAAGGCUUUCAGUCUUUUCUCUCAUUGUGCAAAUCAUCCCCCUGGUGAUUUGCUCUCUGCAGCCUACCCAGGUGCAACCUCUGUGAUAUCCUAGGCUGGACCUUCAUGUAAGCACAAAAUACUAGGGAGGCUGCCUGCUUUGUGCCUGACCACUGUUUGUUGUUGAGGAGUUUGAGAUGAAGCAUUUCCAUUAAAAGCAUUUUAACUUUUGAAGAAAUAAAUUCAGAAAGAUUUUUUAAAAAAAGAAAUAGGAAGCAUUUCCAUUAAAAGCAAAACCAGGACCAAGCCUCCCCAGAUUCCCACACAUCCAUUAAAUCCUGCAAGUAGAUUUCAUGGGGCUUUUUUCAGAUGAUGAAACAUGGGCACCUGGGGAGGCUGAAGAGCACUGGAUAAACGUUUAAUGUGGGGUGGGGAGGACACAUGCACCAUCCUCGACAACCUUGUAACAGUAAGGUAAACUUAUUCCUGUAUCCAAAAUGAUAAAGAAAUGAUAAAACACAGAGGAAGAAGUAUUUUAAAAAAAAUGGAAAGCAGGUUUCAGUAUAGCAGCAGCAGCUUAUUGCCUCGUUACAGUUAUCUGGCAGAUAGGCUUAAAUGGUUGCAAGCUCUCUGUGUUUUGAAAGUUUAAAAUAGUUCCCUCUGGGUUUUUGAUGCCAACUCUCUCAAUUUUCAUCCGCUGACCUACUUAUGACCUUUGAUGCCUCACAUGGUUAACAGAAAGCAAGAGAUGUGAUUAAUUGAUUAGGAGGUGAGUAUAUCAAAGGGACAAAGAAGAUUAACACUCAUGUAGGAGAUUGGUGGCUGCUUUUGAAAGAAGUAAAUAAAACUCCCAAAGGACAGAAGCGGUUGGCAGUUUUGCAAUGUGUAAUGAACAAAUUACACUUUCAGCUCAUAUUUCCUGUAGUGUGCCCUGUUGAUGAAAGGCCAAAAAAGUGACAACUUCCUAAUUAGUUAACUCUAGGUGACAAAUUAAAACUUUCAGAAUGAAGUCGGAGAGCAUGGAAGAUGAAGAAGAGUGGACAGAAUUGAUGAGAGGCUCUGAGAUCCAAUUCCUCACACAACUCAGUGAGGAAGAAUUACUACCUGCAGUGCACAGUCUUACUGCAGCUCUUCGGCUUUCAGUUCAUUGUCAAUACAUAAUUGUCAUAACAAAUACAAAGUACAAAAAUUAAUUCUUUAAAAAGUGAAAGAACUGGCAACACAAUGAGGAAUCAGACUUAGGGAUAAUAUCUAAAGUUAGAGGAGACACAUUAAAAUGAAUGGACACCUGUCAAUGGAUGUACUCUUAAUAUGAAAUGUAUAUCAUCCAAUAUGUUGUCAUUAAAUAAUAAUCUUAUUUUUUUAACUUUGCUUGUCCUUUCUUAAAGUUUUAUAUAAGUUGGAAGGUCAACUGAACUCAAAGAUACAAAUAUUUCCCCAGUUGUUAUUAGUGUGCAGGCGUUGGAUUUAAGUGGCUCUUACUGGCCUAGGUAAAUAUUAUAAAAUGGAAUUAAUGAUUAUCAACCUUUCCAGUGUUGUUUUUCUAGAAAAAGAGGUGCUGGAACUCACCACGAACACCCCCCUUGUUAUUUAGAAUGACAACGGCGCCCACUUUAUACCUCAAUUUUACAUGUGUUCAUUUAGGUCAGUUCCACCCUGCUUCUGCAUGGAUGAUUAUCUUUAAUCCAUAUAAAAAUGUAUACUUAAAUCAUAGAAUUGUAGGGUUGGAAGGGACCCCAAGGGUAAUUAGUCCAACCCCAUACAUUGAAGGAAUAAAUAUAUUUUCAAAUAUAUAUCUAAAUACCAGUAUAAAACAAAAUAGCAUUUUAUCUCAGCAUACACAUUUGCAAAGGUAUUGCAUUUUACCCUAAAAUUUGUAUUCUAUGGCAUCUUGGUAUCCCCCUCCCCUUUUAGCUGAGAACUGGAGAAGUGCAAAACUGGAAGGGUAAUUUUGUUCCCAGUGUUGUAUUAAUUUGGCAGGUGUGAAUGACAUCAGAGCCUCUUAAAGUGUGGACUGGGCAAAAUUCCAGUCCAUCCUUACUUACAGGUGACUUUUUAUUCAGCCCUGACCCACCAUUUGGAAAUCCCUGACUGGUGCAUGGUAAAAAUGAAGCACAUCUUUAAUCUUUACAUCCUUUUCACUUUGAAAUUUACACUAAGACAUGUUGAGCUAGAGGUAGGCUUAUUUCCCCUAAUCAAUAUCCCUGCAGCACGCUCUCCUUGCUUCAGACAUUUUAUGGGUUAUUCCUUUAAACCCUUUCAUCUUCCUCCUACAAAGAGGAUUCAAUUUAUCAAGUUACUACAAAGUACCAUGCAGAAUUUUUGUCAGACCAGCUGUAUGCAAUAAUUACAUGCUUCUUCCAUUGGAAACCAUGGCAACUAUCCAAUAACUAACACGAAAGAGAUACUGCAACAAAAUAUUUCUGGGAAUUGAUGGGAGAGUGGGUGGGGAGGAGGAGAAGGAAUUGACAUCCAUGGCAUAAGAACUAAGCAUUACACAUUCCUGGCACAAAUAAAUUCCUGUGGCCAAAACUGUGUACAAAUAUUUUAUGCUUGUAGAUUAAAUGAAAACGUUGUGCUACCAGCCACCCCAAUCUCUGUCAAGUGGUAGCAAGUUCCAGGGGUCUUGGCACUUAACCAGGGAUUGUGUUCCUUUGCAAUGAGGCAUGGUGGAGACUGUGGUGUCAUUAAGAUAUGUGGUUUAUUUACAUCUGAGUUUAGGUGGAGGGAGUUACACCACAAGGGUGCCUCUUGUUGUUCCUUGGAUAGCUUCAGCAAACAGAAGCCAGCCAUGCUCCUCAAUAUCUGUUUGCAGCCUCACCCAGUCAGCCCCACAUGGAGUUCCUGGCUCUCUCUUCUUCCCCCAAACCCUUGCUCCAACACAACUCAAGCCUUGUAUAAAAAGAGCAUCCUUCUUGUGGGGACAUCCUGCCCACUGUAACCUUGGCAACUUCCCCCUCACAACUUUGCUAUGUCUUUUACUGACUAACACACCAAUGGGGGAGGACCUCCGCCUCACUUCUUGUCUGAUGCUGAAUGUCUCACCUUUGUCAGGGUAAUGACUCUGCCAUCACCUGUCUUUGUUCUUUGAUGGCACCUCUCUAAGUAAAACGCCUGAGGAAGUUGGCUUCUUUUUUAGGCCUUGCUGAAUCCAUGCAUCAACCUCCACAUUGACUAAUUUUAGAAAUUAUGGGGAGUACCUGGCACCCAGUAAUUUUAGGGGGCCCUUGCUCCCUGCGACCCCCUAACAGCUGUUUUAGUGCAGCCAUCUUCUUGUGGUUAUAAACUUUGAAAGCUCAACCACUUCAGAAACUGCCAGUCUUUUCACACAGCAGGUCAGUCUAAGAUUAUGAACCUAGCAGAAAGCCGAGUAGGAAUCACCAUCAAAAUAGAUGUUAUACUUGUCAAUUGUUCAUAAAACAUGGCUUAGCGUGGUGGGAAUGACUUUCUGCAAGCCUUGGCUUUGUAUUCCCCACUCCCCUACCUUUUUCUGAUGUAGUAGCAAAGAGAAGUUUUUGAUUCUCUUUUAUUCACCGAGGCUUGUCAUGUCAUCCGAACCUGGAUAAUCUUAACAAUGGUUUGUCUAAAACAAGGCAACUUCAAAUCAUAACUUCUAAAGCUGACUUGUUUCCACAAACAACAGUUAAUAUUAAUCACAAUUGCUGCACUUUAAACUUAAUUAACCGCAGUGAAUCAAACAUGGAAGCUCCUGAACUCCUCCUCACAGCCACACUGGUGGAGGAAAGAGAAGGCAUGAGCCCAAGGUUUGUAUUGUAAUAGUAAUAAGAAAUAUGAAAGGUGAUGAAGUUAAAGAUACUAUUAAUAUGAAACAAUUAUAAAAUGAGAACAGUAUCUGUUAAUAUUAAGAGAAUGAUCAUUAUAGUUUUUGAUCCCAACUGUGAUUGCAGCAGCAUCCAUUGAUUUUUUUAGUGUUAUUGGAUCACUGCCAUUUGGGGGAAAUUAUUUUAAUGCUUUUGUAAACAAGAGCACAGAGCCAAGAGAAUAGCUGUAUUUGUUUUACUGACACGGGCUCAACUGCCUCAUUUCAGCCCUGCUCUUCAAAUUAAAAUUUGGAUUGGGUCCAAGGUAGCCAACCUGCCAACUUAAGGCUCACUCCCACUAUUGAGAACCAUUCAACGCUGGUAAUGCAAAGAUUGUAAGCAUCACUGUCACAAGCAGGUGUGCUGUAUUGUGCCAAGGGGAGUUUGUGUUUUGAAACAGGGAGAACGGGACUGCAAGCUCGGCAAGUAAAAUUGAUUGUUUCCUAGCACUUAGCUUCUGUACAGCUCAUUUGUCUUCAAGUAGAUCAACUGUGUAGGAAAAUCAAAGGCGCCAUUCGAUGCCACGGUUAAUUUGCAAAGGGGACAAAAGUUGAACUUGAGCCACAAGCUUUGCAAGUUCAACAUUCUGGUCUGGAAGCCCAGCUCUCAGUGAAGGUGGCCACCAAAUAAAAGGACAACAGAGGAAACCAAUUUGCAUAGAAUCUGCCCAGGAGCAAAUUUUAAAAUAAUUACUAUCGUUUAAAUAGAACAACAAGCCUCUCACUAUAGUGGGCAACCUCAAGACUCCUUCUCUCCCUCCCUUCCUUCCUUCCUUCCUUCCUUCCUAACUUCCUCUUUCUUUCUUUUUCUUUUUAAAAAUCAAAUUGUUAUUAAGCUUUCAACAACAAAAAUACAGUAAAGGUCAAACUAAUCUAAGAGAAGGGAAGAAUAAAGAAAGAGCAAUAGGAAGUAUGAAAGAAAGAAAGAAAGGAAAGAAAGUAAGAAAGAAGAACAGAAAGGAAAGUUGCGUGUCAAGGUCCCCAAGCCACCCCCCAAUAAUUCACACAUCACACAUCAAUUUUGGUUUGGGUUUUUGGCACGAUUUGGGCCACAACUUUAUUUAAAUACACACAAGUGAGUGGUUGCUUAGGCAUUGGUUCCGACUAUCUGUCCUUGCCCAGGGACAGAACUGACUUCCGGAUUCCAGCGGAAGCCAGUGAGGGAAGCAAUUUUCGGGAGAAAAUGAAGCUGGGCCUCAGUCCCUCACUUCUCACCCUCAUGCUCCUGGUGGCUUGCACGGCCCAAGUCUGAUGCCAGGGACAAGGAUGAAAAGAAUGACAAGCCCCUGGAUUCCUUUAAUGGAAUUCCCUUUCCGCACCAGCAUUGGAGGGGUAGGCACUUACCCCUCCACCAACCAAUUUGAACCAAUGCCUAACCGCCAACCUUACAAGUUGUGACGAUUUGCUACGCAGUAGGCAAAAACCAAAUGGCACCAGCCAAUCAGCUAAAUGGACAAAAUUCCUACCAGGCCCCUGCCUCAAAGCAGACGACCCCAUGACAGGCAUAGCAAGGUCAAGUGAGCAACCCCCCCCCAAUACAGGGAGGAUGGGCAGCUGAUCCGGUGCAAGCAGCCAAGAGGACGCCCAAAGUGGUGCGUCCAAUAUUUAAAACCUCUGACCCCUCCUUCAAAAUUGGCAACAAGCAAUUCUCCCCAGCGACCCAAUUAACCAAUUCGCUGCCUGGGUCACUCCGCAAAUCCGCCCAGCAACACUGGGGUGGCUUGUAUCCCCCACCGCAACACGUGCUCUCUGCUAGGGAGAACACGUUGAAAUGGUAAAAAGGACUUCCAACUAUCCAUCUCUGUUAUAUAUACAAUAGCUCUUCAAAAUAGUCAAAUGUUCAGUCCAAAUUAGUAUUGCUCCACCUCUGCUAGGUGAUUUUCCAGUCUUCAUUCCGAGGUGCUUCAGUUCAUUUAAUUCUUUCAGUGCAAGACGUCCAAGGAAAGUUUUACAAAUAAAAUUAUAAUACUCUACAAUAGUUCUCCUCCUCUCCAGCAUCACAACAUUUCCUCAAGUAUUAGGAAAUGUUCAAUCUGUCUUUUUCCUCCAAGACUUCUUCACUGUGUUUUUGUAUUAGAGCAUCAGUCCAUAAUUAUUUGAUUAUUAUACAGUCGUCAAUCCACACCCAAAUCUAUCUAUCCCAUGUCAACCAUACUUCUCUGCCCUUAUCUUUCCUACUUUCCAUCUUCUGUUUUUCCAUUCUUUUACCAGAGUUACUGAAAGAAGCUUGCCAUCUAUUUCUUUCAAAUUCAAUCCAACUUGUACACAGAUUUGUCCCCCCCCCCCAAUGCUUUCUGUUUCAAUUCAGAGCAUUUUUUGUCAUUCCAUCCCUAUCUGCUGCUCUCACUUGCUUAAUCAGACGUGGACUGGACAACCCUUCAGACAGAAGAUCCUCAAGCUCUUUGACCAGAGAAUUGUCUUUUGUACUGUAGUACAUAUAGUCAUUAUAUCUGCAGUUAUAGUGGAUGAUGGGCUUAAAUCCCUGCAUGUUUCACUCUUGAUUGCUACAAAGAAUUCCACCUAUGUAAUAUUCUCUGUGGGCAUGGCUACCUUCCUAUACAUAUGACACCUGGAAGAACUAUAUCAAUUUAUUCACUGGAGAGAGCGCAAAACAAGUUUUUGUGCAGACUCUUGUCAGUCCCUACCUCUACAAAAAUAACACCACUCUGUGCAGAACUGGCUGUAAUGCCCAUUAAAGCUGAAGCCCUCAGACUAGCUCUGCUUUUUUGGUUUAAAACUACUUUUAAGCAUGUAUCAGAAUCCCUCGUGACAAUUUGGGAAGACAUGACCCCAAACUCAUGGAAUCAUGAAAUGCAAUCUGCUGCCAUGAGGUUAGGACUCUCUGCUUCCUUUCUUGUGACGCAGGGUUUUGAGGAAAGCUAAAGAAUUAAUACUCCAAAGGUUUCAAGGCGCCGAGAUGCAAUCACAAACUGCUGAGAUCAAGAUCUGCCAAUCGAACAAAUUGUAUGCUUUUUUUAUUCCAUUGUACCCAUCCCUGCCAAGAUAUCUAGCAGAUUUGCCCAAUGUUAAAAUGAGGGCAGCCUUUACUCAGGCAAGACUGAAUGUCCUUCCGUUAGCAGAUUGAACUGUAUGACAUAAAGGAGUUCCUAAGGAGGACAGAGUUUGCCAGUGCAACUCACUGUCUAUAGAAGACAUAACUCACGUACUCCUCCAAUGCCCUUUUUAUAACUAUCUUAGAAACGAUUACAUCCAUCCAUUGUUAAGAUUGCAGAAGGGAAGGACAUCUCUUGCAAAGACCUGUUUUUUUGCUGUCUGAUGUGGAGAGGUAUAUAUCCUUUCGAGCAUCCAAAUUUCUUGCAAAGGCUUUACAAAUUUGUGUAAUAAAAGGGGGAAUGGGAAAUGAUUUAUCCUGUAAAGGUCGGGGAGUAGAAAUGUCAGCCACUAUUCGUAGUUGAAUUCUUGUUAUUAUUUUCAUGUGUGUAAUGGCUGUUCACUAGAGACAAUAAAUUGAACUGAACUGAACUGUAUAAUUUUACAUAUGGUUUUAGUAAUAGUUUGAUAUUUGCUAGGGUGAUGGAAUAGGCUGAUAUUAAUGUUGGCAUUGUGCAUCCUAAAUAUUGGAAUGCAGAAUGAUUAUUCUUGCUCUAGGUCAGUGGUAUAACAUUUGCACUGCAUGGAAAAGGUUCCAGGUUCAAUCCAUGGUACCACCAGGCAGGGCUAGAAGAAAGCCCUUUCUGAAACCCUGGAAAGUCAUUGUCAGUCAGUGUAAGCAGUAUUAAAGUAUUUUUAAUCUUUGUUGGAAGCUGCUCAGAGUGGCUGGGGAAACCCAGCCAGAUGGGUGGGGUACAAAUAAUAAAUUACUACUAUUACUAACAUAGAUGGACCAAUGAUCUGACUGAGUAUAAGGCAGCUUCUGGAAUGAACCUGAUUUUUAAAAACAAAUGUCUUAUAUACUGUUUACACUGAGUUAUAUCUACAAGAAAAGGGACGUGGGUGGCGCUGUCGAUUAAAUCACAAAGCCUAGGGCUUGUCGAUCAGAAGGUUGGCGGUUCGAAUCCCCAUGCUUGGUCCCUGCUCCUGACAACCUAGCAGUUCGAAAGCACAUCAAACUGCAAGUAGAUAAAUAGGUACCACUCUUGCGGGAAGGUAAACGGCGUUUCCAUGCGCUGCUCUGGUUCACCAGAAGCGACUUAGUCAUUCUGGCCACAUGACCCGGAAGCUGUACGCCGGCUCCCUUGGCCAAUAAAGCGAGAUGAGCGCCGCAACCCCAGAGUCGGCCACGACUGGACCUUUACCUUUUAUAUAUACAAGGCGGCCUUUAGCCAGAACACUAAAAAUGCUUUUCGCAUUUCCUGACACAGCAAUGUGAAUGAUUAAAAACCUACUUUGGUUACAAUGUAUAUUAAUGGCUCCUUUAUACUCUCCGCCCCACAUUUACAUGUGCACACAAAUAGCAAUAAGGAGUUGGAAAGUGUUUUUAGCAUUAUGUAUGAUAACAUCCUGCCCCUGCUGUGUUGCGUUUUUUUAUGAGAAAAACAAACACAGCUCUAAGUUCUUGACACUUGCAAUUUGUCAAGAAGUUUCCUUGUUGAAAUCCAUUUUCUGUUUUUCAAUCCCAAUACCAGGAAAAGCACUUGGAGGAAAAAUAAAUGAUGUCCUUUCCCAUAUCCUUUUGUUGUCGUUGUAAAGACACAUACUUUCUCUUGCUCACACACACACUAAAACAUACCAACAUCUCAGUGUGUAUUCAGUAUAAGUUAUGUUAUCACAGAUGCCCUGCCUUCCAUUAGCAUGGUUCCCAGAAGACCAUCUGCUUGGCUUUUCAAAAAGUGAUCAAAAAUGUAUUUCCCACCCCUGCCCACUCUUUCUAGCUAGACAGAGGACCCCAAUGGUGUGUGAGGUAAUGCAGGAGUGAAAACUGCUGCAAAAAAAGAGGGAAAUGUGCCAGUUCUCUCACUUCAAAUCAGAGAUUGAUACUCCUUCAUGGGUGAGUAUUUGCAUUCCAGUUCCUGUUGUGCACACUGCUAGAUCAUGUCCCCCAAAUUAAGUGUAAAAUUAAUAUAACUAGUGAGCUUUCUUUCUUUAUCCUCUGCUUAAAUAUCAGAGGGGCCUUCAGCUGUGACAAAAUGUUUUAAGAGGGUUAUAAAAUGAGUGCCACAGAGCAGUUAAAGUUACCCAAAGAUGGCAUUUGGCAGGUGCCAAAAGCAAGUGUGUUGCAUUAGUCUGUCACUUACAGUUUAUGUGCCACUUACACCUCCAUUUGUCACCAGCUAAAUCCAACCCACUUAUAUUGAAGGUGAUUUGGUUUUUAUCUAUGUGUUGACUCUCAGUAUGGGACAGUUACCUUUCCAUGUCAAAAAAACCCACACACACAACAGGAUAGAUGUGAGUAUUUGAAAUACUGUCCUGAUCAUUGUGUCAGCAAGUUUACUCCAUGUAAAGGAGGGUUUAUUUUUUAAGGUGUUUAAAAAUCAGCUCGCACAGCUGACAAGAUGCAACAAAUAUCAUUAACAGAAGGAAUUUUGGCUGGUGUACCAUUUCCUACCAUUGUAGCUUGAUGACAGCCUUCCACUAAAAUUUCCUAAGGAGACAACAGGAACACUGAUCUCAGUUGCAUUAGGUCAUCUGAAUAUAUUUAUUCCACAAAUCUCUUGCACAGCUUUAAAAAGGGGGUGACAUACCCCAUCCGUAUGUAUGUGUGUGCUACAAAGAGAUUUAAGAUGAUGAUGUGGCAAGCUUGCGUUGUUAACCAGUCCUUCCCAUCACUACUGUUCCACCAUAGAAGGCAGCCUCCCAGGAUGUUUUUGUUUGUAUGUUUUAAAAAAACAGCAGAAAGAAACACACAGCAGUGUGCAACCUGCAGUUUGACACUUAUAAUGUAUAAAUUGCACAUUCCACUCUGUUUAUAUUGUUUCUGGUAAUUCAAGAUCAUAAUUUGCAUUUCAAUCAAAAUCACUACCCACUUUUCACUAUUCAAAUCAUGUUCCCUUUAAGCCAUUUAUGCCUAGUGACAGCAAAUUUAAAAAAUAUAUACAGAUGUUAUCAAUGUAGUUCUAGCUUAGAAACAUUUUAUAAAUCGUGUCUUGAGAAGAGAGCAGAACUUAUUGAUUACUCAUCUAUAUCACUCUGUGCACCUUGUGGCAAAAUGCUGGCUUCUGAAGAACUUUGUUCACCACAUGAUAUUAUCUGUCAUCCAUCUUAAUGCCUUGUGCCAAAGUGUCUGUGACGGAACAAAAUAAGCACCUGAUCACAAUUCCGCUCCACAGGUUUUGGCGUAAAUAUAGGAAGCAGGAACAAUGCCACAAUCCAAUGGUAUUGCAGGCAGUGCCUAUUCCAACAUUACAAGCAGAAACAAAUGCUUCCUCUCACAACAAAUUCUCUACUUCACUGGAGCCAAGAAAAUGGGAUAGAAGAGCAUUGUUUGAGUUCUUAUUGCUGUGCUCAUCAAAGAGAUUGACUCUCCUCCAUCAGCAAGAUGAAGCACUUCUGUGGUAGGUGUACUCUUCAGACCAGCUCUUCAGCAGUUCUAGAAAAUUGCAAAAGGAAUAUAAACGUGUAUUUCUUCAAGAGCUAGUCAGACAGGGGAAAUUAAACAAGAUCCCUCAAGAAGCCGAGAGAAAGCCAAGGGAGAAGCAGAGAAAUGGAGAGCAUCGCCAAG